rnacentral:lncRNA from 1 species
CGCGGAGCCCCCACCCAGCAGGCGGAGCGGGAGCCCGUGGGCUUCUCCAGCUCCGGGCGGGUCUCGGACCGGGCCAGCACGUCCAGUGGAGGAGAGAGGAGCAGCGGGCGGAGCGGGGACAAGCAGCCUUGACACUCGUCCGUGGGGCGCAGGAACCGGCAGCUUUUUGGCAGUGCUGCUUUGCAGAUAAGGACGCAGCCCCAGGCAGGGGCAGGGUCUCGGCACCGAGAUUUGUUUGGCCAGCCGUGGGAAGGGAAGCCCCCGGCACAGCCCCCAGCCUCUCAGCUGACAGCGGACAAGAGGGAGAAGCCCUGACACUGUCCGGCGCAGGGGUGGUGGGACCUCAGCGUUCAUCUGGAGUUUCCCAACGAGCCGUAAGUCCUUAUCAUGUUGGAAAAUCAAUUUUCCCUCUGGCUGUUUUAUUGGUUGCCCUGCCAGCCCUUCUACAUAUCUAGUAGAAUUGCUGGCAGGAGAGAUUUUUGGGGCUGUAUCCUGCUCUGCUUACAGAGCAGGAAAAGAGGACAGCCCUGCU